AGUGAACGCUGGCGGUAGGCCUAACACAUGCAAGUCGAACGGCAGCACAGUAAGAGCUUGCUCUUACGGGUGGCGAGUGGCGGACGGGUGAGGAAUACAUCGGAAUCUACUUUUUCGUGGGGGAUAACGUAGGGAAACUUACGCUAAUACCGCAUACGACCUACGGGUGAAAGCAGGGGAUCUUCGGACCUUGCGCGAUUGAAUGAGCCGAUGUCGGAUUAGCUAGUUGGCGGGGUAAAGGCCCACCAAGGCGACGAUCCGUAGCUGGUCUGAGAGGAUGAUCAGACACACUGGAACUGAGACACGGUCCAGACUCCUACGGGAGGCAGCAGUGGGGAAUAUUGGACAAUGGGGGAAAGCCUGAUCCAGCAAUACCGCGUGGGUGAAGAAGGCCUUCGGGUUGUAAAGCCCUUUUGUUGGGAAAGAAAAGCAGCAGGUUAAUACCCCGCUGUUCUGACGGUACCCAAAGAAUAAGCACCGGCUAACUUCGUG
rnacentral:rRNA from 1 species